rnacentral:lncRNA from 1 species
UUUUUUUUUUUUUUUUUUUGUGCCCUUGGGACGCGCGGGGCUCCCUGCACGCCGGCUCUUUGCUCCUCGGAGAAACGGGGAGAAGCCGUGCUCGGUCUCCCCCGGGCUCUCGCUCUGCUCUCGGGCCUCCGCCGCCAGGAUCAGGCCCUGCUCGGCCCCCGGCUGCGCUCCCGACGCCCGCUUCCAGCCCCGCAGCGGCGGCGGGGUCCCGGCGCCCAGCCCCGGCUCCGCUAGGGACCGGCGCUGCGGGAAGGGUGGGAAAUUUCGGCUCCAAAAUAAACCGGGGCAGGAAUGCCAGCUAUUUCCCUCGGAAUAAUGCGGCGCAACUGGCUGGGGAUCUGUAUUUAUUUGCUCGCUGCGUUCAGGAGAAAGCGGCCGUUUGCAGCUCGCGGGGAGUCCCUGCGUCCUCAGACCGAAAAGAAAAGAAAUUAAAAAAAAGAAAUGCACUAGAGAAAAAGAAAAAUAAUAAUAACAGCUCGGGGAUGCUGCUGGUCAGCGGCAAGGGCAGAAACGUCUCUGCGGGAAUCGAGCCCCAAAGCCGCGGGGGCCGUGGCUGAGCCCCCGCCGCAGUUUCCUUCGUUUCGUUUCGGUUGGGAAAAGCGGGGCGAAGCCGUCGGGCUCGCCCGUGCCGCAGCCGCGCUCCUGGCCGUUUCAAGGCUCUAUUUAAUUGGAAUUUCUUCUUAAAAAAUAAUCAGCUUUAAAAGAAACGCUCGCCGACCGCCCGUUCCGGUCUCUUCGUGGCAUUCGAAUAAACGUGGAAACGGUGAAAGACCCGAGGCGCUGCCGAAAUCCGCGGGGAUUUACCCCGGGAGCGCACUGACGCCGGAGGAGCUUCGCCAAAACCUGCCCGUAGACGUGUUGCGCGUGCGAGUGCGUUCAGACACAACCGAUUUACCCGUUUUUCGACCCGUUUUCUCCCCGCAGAGGCUUUAGGUCAGCUCCCGGCGGUGCCGGGCUCUCGCCCCGAGGCCGCGGUGAGGGGCGCUGGGUCCCGCGGGACCCCCCCUCUCCCCCCCCCGGGCAGCAGGGCUGCGGGCAGGUGCUCCCACCCCGGGGCUUUCCAGCAGAACCGGAGGCAGCUUUCCGCAGCCUCCCCGCGGAGGUUGUGGUGGUUAGACCCUGUGUGCGUGUUGCGGGACGAGCAGGGCACCGGGCCGGGCUGCUGCCACCCGUGGGGACACGUUCACGCGUGGGUGCAGCUUGCCUGUAAGAAUUUCACUGGCACGGAAAAUCAGAGGUUCCACAGAGCUGACGUUGCCUGCUGUCCUCUAACAGAGCCAUUGUACAGGGAUGCUUCAGCCUCAGCCGUUCCUCCGGCCACUGACAAGUCCACAACAGCUACAAAAAUCACCCCACUUCCUUCAGUAUCUACUGGGAACCAAACGCCGCCAAUUUGUGCCCCCCAAAGAUGGGUAACUUGGCACGGGCUUCCUAAAAGUGACCUUCAUUUGCAUCAUUUUUUACCGUGCAUUGUUAAAAAAUCCUAA